rnacentral:lncRNA from 1 species
GAAAAACUGUCAUAAUAGCUGCAAACCCCUUUUAUUUCCAUUUCGAAACUUCAUUCAUGCUGAAGCAUCUCUUUUCAUUUUCGCGUACCCCUCUCGUCUCUAUCCUCUCACAUUUUUCACUUCUCAUUCUCGAGACUUCUUCAACAGGAGCAUAGAUAUUCAUUCUCUCUGCUUCUUGUUGAUUCACAUUCGUACAUCACAGAACCACAUUUUCGUUGUUGUCUUGCGAGUUUUCUCCAACUCUAAACAUCAUUGCUAGGUUUCAUACUUCUUCAUGAUUUCCUUUCUAUUUUCACAUUUUUCUUUGAUUUCGCCGAUUAAAUUAUCGUUUAUCACCUUUUCCACCAAUUAAAACACCUUUUUUCCGUUCGUUUCUCAUUUUUAACACUCAAUAUCGCCUUUGAACCGAUUAAUCGAUUCACCUAGGGUUUCCUCCAGUAGAUUCCCUUUCUAUUGCUGUAAUUUGUGGCAAGAGUGUUAAGAAACCUCCAUCAAGGGAAUCAGCUUCUCCGAAGACAAGAGCAUGUUGCCUGCUUCCUCUAAUGAGAGCUUCCGGGUCAUAAGCCAGGGUCACGAGCCAAUCGAAGAGGAUGGACAAAACCCGUGACUUAAUCCCUGGAAAUUCUCGGAGAAGCCUGAAACCGACAAAAUUGGUGCCAAAGCCUAAAAGGAGUAAGGUUCCCACUCUCAACUCUGUUGCC